AAUUUAAGGUUGAGUGCAAUCAGACCCAGCAGGAAGAUUGAUCAUAUGUGGUUCAUGCUUAUGUUGUUGAAGAGAUUCGCAAGUUGUGUCCGGUCCCUCUACACCUUUGCCAGACAAAAAGCUCUUGUUGUUUAUUUCAAAAGUUGUGUAUGA